rnacentral:rRNA from 2 species
UGGGGAAUAUUGGGCAAUGGGCGCAAGCCUGACCCAGCAACGCCGCGUGAAGGAAGAAGGUUUUCGGAUUGUAAACUUCUGUCCUUGGGGACGAAACAAAUGACGGUACCCAAGGAGGAAGCCCCGGCUAACUACGUGCCAGCAGCCGCGGUAAUACGUAGGGGGCAAGCGUUGUCCGGAAUUACUGGGCGUAAAGGGAGCGUAGGCGGUCUGUUAAGUGGGAUGUGAAAAACCCGGGCUUAACCCGGGAGGUGCAUUCUAAACUGGCAGACUUGAGUGUGGGAGAGGAAAGUGGAAUUCCUAGUGUAGCGGUGAAAUGCGUAGAUAUUAGGAGGAACACCAGUGGCGAAGGCGGCUUUCUGGACCAUAACUGACGCUGAGGCUCGAAAGCGUGGGGAGCAAACAGG